rnacentral:rRNA from 1 species
UACGAAGGGUGCAAGCGUUACUCGGAAUUACUGGGCGUAAAGCGUGCGUAGGUGGUUCGUUAAGUCUGAUGUGAAAGCCCUGGGCUCAACCUGGGAAUGGCAUUGGAAACUGGCGACCUAGAGUGCGGUAGAGGGUAGUGGAAUUCCCGGUGUAGCAGUGAAAUGCGUAGAGAUCGGGAGGAACAUCCGUGGCGAAGGCGACUACCUGGACCAGCACUGACACUGAGGCACGGAAGCGUGGGGAGCAAACAGG